CUCCCUUCUCCAUGCUUUCUCUCCUCCCCCUCUUCUCUUCCAUGCUCAAAAAUUGGGUGUCCCCUUUUUCAUAUGCCAAGAGGUAGUGCUUUAUAACUUCAAGAGUGAAGAUCAAGAAGAAGAAGAAGAAGGUUGCUGAUCAAAGAGUUGAUGCCGCAGUCUAGAUCAAGGUAUUGAUCAAAGUGUUCAAGGCUAAGAUUAUUUUUAGAAAGAAGAGUCUUCUACAAGGAGAGAUCUGUUAAAAAUUGAUCUCGAUGGAUACUUAUAGAAGCCAGACACAUGUGCGGCUCGAGCAUCUACAAAUCCAUGAUCAUCGAAAGUGGUG
rnacentral:lncRNA from 1 species